rnacentral:rRNA from 1 species
UGGGGAAUAUUGCACAAUGGGGGAAACCCUGAUGCAGCGACGCCGCGUGAGCGAAGAAGGUUUUCGAAUCGUAAAGCUCUGUCCUAUGGGAAGAUAAUGACGGUACCAUAGGAGGAAGCCCCGGCUAACUACGUGCCAGCAGCCGCGGUAAUACGUAGGGGGCAAGCGUUGUCCGGAAUCACUGGGCGUAAAGGGUUCGCAGGCGGAAAUGCAGUCAGUUGUGAAAGGCAGAGGCUCAACCUCUGUAAGCAAUUGAAACUGUAUUUCUUGAGAUGUGGAGAGGCAAGUGGAAUUCCUAGUGUAGCGGUGAAAUGCGUAGAUAUUAGGAAGAAUACCGGUGGCGAAGGCGACUUGCUGGACACAAACUGACGCUGAGGAACGAAAGCGUGGGUAGCAAACAGG